UACAGAGGUCUCAAGCGUUGUUCGGAUUCAUUGGGCGUAAAGGGUGCGUAGGUGGCGCUGUAAGUCGGGUGUGAAAUUUCGGAGCUUAACUCCGAAACUGCAUUCGAUACUGCGGUGCUUGAGGACUGGAGAGGAGACUGGAAUUCAUGGUGUAGCAGUGAAAUGCGUAGAGAUCAUGAGGAAGACCAAUGGCGAAGGCGGGUCUCUGGACAGUUCCUGACACUGAGGCACGAAGGCCAGGGGAGCAAACGGG
rnacentral:rRNA from 1 species